GGAAUCUUGGACAAUGGGGGAAACCCUGAUCCAGCGACGCCGCGUGACCGAUGAAGGCCUUCGGGUCGUAAAGGUCUUUCGGCGGGGACUAUGAUGAAGGUACCCGCAGAAGCAGGAGCGGCUAACUACGUGCCAGCAGCCGCGGUAAUACGUAGGCUCCAAGCGUUGUUCGGAAUUACUGGGCGUAAAGCGAGUGUAGGCGGUUUGUCAAGUCGAUUGUGAAAUCUCCCGGCUCAACCGGGAGGGUGCGGUCGAAACUGACAAACUCGAGUUCGGGAGAGGAGAGUGGAAUUCCUGGUGUAGCGGUGAAAUGCGUAGAUAUCAGGAGGAACACCGGUGGUGAAGACGGCUCUCUGGACCGAUACUGACGCUGAGACUCGAAAGCGUGGGGAGCAAAC
rnacentral:rRNA from 1 species